GUGGCUCAGGACGAACGCUGGCGGCGUGCUUAAUACAUGCAAGUGGACGCAAGAGAACACACUGUGCUUGAUAGCCGACCUGAGAGGGUGAUCGGCCACACUGGGACUGAGACACGGCCCAGACUCCUACGGGAGGCAGCAGUAGGGAAUCUUCGGCAAUGGACGAAAGUCUGACCGAGCAACGCCGCGUGAGUGAAGAAGGUUUUCGGAUCGUAAAGCUCUGUUGUAAGUCAAGAACGUGUGUGAGAGUGGAAAGUUCACACAGUGACGGUAGCUUACCAGAAAGGGACGGCUAACUACGUGCCAGCAGCCGCGGUAAUACGUAGGUCCCGAGCGUUGUCCGGAUUUAUUGGGCGUAAAGGGAGCGCAGGCGGUCAGGAAAGUCUGGAGUAAAAGGCUAUGGCUCAACCAUAGUGUGCUCUGGAAACUGUCUGACUUGAGUGCAGAAGGGGAGAGUGGAAUUCCAUGUGUAGCGGUGAAAUGCGUAGAUAUAUGGAGGAACACCAGUGGCGAAAGCGGCUCUCUGGUCUGUCACUGACGCUGAGGCUCGAAAGCGUGGGUAGCGAACAGGAUUAGAUACCCUGGUAGUCCACGCCGUAAACGAUGAGUGCUAGGUGUUAGGCCCUUUCGGGGGCUUAGUGCCGGAGCUAACGCAAUAAGCACUCCGCCUGGGGAGUACGACCGCAAGGUUGAAACUCAAAGGAAUUGACGGGGGCCCGCACAAGCGGUGGAGCAUGUGGUUUAAUUCGAAGCAACGCGAAGAACCUUACCAGGUCUUGACAUCCCGAUGCUAUUCUUAGAGAUAGGAAGUUACUUCGGUACAUCGGAGACAGGUGGUGCAUGGUUGUCGUCAGCUCGUGUCGUGAGAUGUUGGGUUAAGUCCCGCAACGAGCGCAACCCUUAUUGUUAGUUGCCAUCAUUAAGUUGGGCACUCUAGCGAGACUGCCGGUAAUAAACCGGAGGAAGGUGGGGAUGACGUCAAAUCAUCAUGCCCCUUAUGACCUGGGCUACACACGUGCUACAAUGGUCGGUACAACGAGUUGCGAGCCGGUGACGGCAAGCUAAUCUCUGAAAGCCGAUCUCAGUUCGGAUUGGAGGCUGCAACUCGCCUCCAUGAAGUCGGAAUCGCUAGUAAUCGCGGAUCAGCACGCCGCGGUGAAUACGUUCCCGGGCCUUGUACACACCGCCCGACACACCA
rnacentral:rRNA from 1 species